AAAUUGAAGAGUUUGAUCAUGGCUCAGAUUGAACGCUGGCGGCAGGCCUAACACAUGCAAGUCGAACGGUAACAGGAAGCAGCUUGCUGCUUCGCUGACGAGUGGCGGACGGGUGAGUAAUGUCUGGGAAACUGCCUGAUGGAGGGGGAUAACUACUGGAAACGGUGGCUAAUACCGCAUAACGUCGCAAGACCAAAGAGGGGGACCUUCGGGCCUCUUACCAUCAGAUGUGCCCAGAU
rnacentral:rRNA from 4 species